GACGAACGCUGGCGGCGUGCUUAACACAUGCAAGUCGAGCGGUAAGGCCCUUUCGGGGGUACACGAGCGGCGAACGGGUGAGUAACACGUGGGUGACCUGCCCUUAGCUCUGGGAUAAGCCUGGGAAACUGGGUCUAAUACCGGAUAUGACUCCAUAACGCAUGUUGUGGGGUGAAAGCCUUGUGCGGCUAGGGAUGGGGCCCGCGGCCUAUCAGCUUGUUGGUGGGGUGAUGGCCCACCAAGGCGACGACGGGUAGCCGGCCUGAGAGGGCGACCGGCCACACUGGGACUGAGACACGGCCCAGACUCCUACGGGAGGCGGCAGUGGGGAAUCUUGCGCAAUGGGCGAAAGCCUGACGCAGCGACGCCGCGUGGGGAUGAC
rnacentral:rRNA from 1 species